rnacentral:rRNA from 1 species
UACGUAGGGACCGAGCGUUGUCCGGAAUCAUUGGGCGUAAAGAGCGUGUAGGCGGCCACUUAAGUCCUGCGUGAAAUCUUGCGGCUCAACCGCAAGCGGUCGUGGGAAACUGGGUGGCUAGAGUGCGGGAGAGGAGAGUGGAAUUCCUGGUGUAGCGGUGGAAUGCGCAGAUAUCAGGAAGAACACCCGUGGCGAAGGCGGCUCUCUGGAACGCAACUGACGCUGAGACGCGAAAAGCGUGGGGAGCAAAACAGG